CAUGAGGGAAAUACCUCGAUUCAGGCCUUCCGCGUGAGCAAGUAUGCCGUUCGGAUAUGUCAAUGCAAGUUGCAGAAAAGACACGUACGUGGUUCAAUGCCCCCGUGAAACUGACCGAUAACGACUAAAACUAAGCACCAGCUAAUUCCAGCCCAGCAGCCGACUGUAAUAGGUAGAGGCCAUACUUUAAUCUGAAUUGCCUUGAAAGUAAAGCGUAGGGCAGGUCAGUUAAGAAAGUAAGAAUGUGACAUCGCCUGAGCUUAAGAUUUGGAAUUGCAAUAUUUAAUCUACCCGGACUAGAGUAGUCAGAGGGAGAAUGUAAUUCCGAGCGUAGCAAUGAAAUGAGUAGAUAUGCGGACGCCACACGGAUGGCGAAGGCACCCUCCUGAGAUAACACAUGACGCUCAUACACGAAAGCGUGCAAACCAGUCAAGAUUAGAUACCAUUGUAGUCCACGCCCUAAAUGAUGUCAACUAGCUGAUGGGGCAUUUGGUCCUGGGUAACGCAGCUAACGAAUGAAGUUGCCCGCCGAGGGAGUACGCUCGCAUGAUUAUAAAUCAAAGGAAUUGGCGGGGACCCACGCAAGCGGUCGUUGAUGUGGAUUAAUUGGAUGCAACGGGAAAAUCCUUACCUACCCCUGACAUGUAUGGAUUCCGGAAGAGAUUUGGCAGUUCUGGCAAGAGAACCCGAACACAGGUGGUGCAUGGCCAUCGUCAGCUCGUGUCGUGAGAUGUUGGGUUAAGUCCCGCAACGAGCGCAACCCUUGUCAUUAGUUGCUUCGAAAGGGCACUUUAAUGAGACUGCCGGUGACAAACCGGAGGAAGGUGGGGAUGACGUCAAGUCCUCAUGGCCCUUAUGGGUAGGGCUUCACACGUCAUACAAUGGUCGGGACAGAGGGUUGCCAACCCGCGAGGGGGAGCCAAUCCCAGAAAACCGAUCGUAGUCCGGAUCGCAGUCUGCAACUCGACUGCGUGAAGUCGGAAUCGCUAGUAAUCGCGGAUCAGCAUGUCGCGGUGAAUACGUUCCCGGGUCUUGUACACACCGCCCGUCACACCAUGGGAGUGGGUUUUUCCAGAAGUAGUUAGUCUAACCGCAAGGGGGGCGAUUACCACGGUAGGAUUCAUGACUGGGGGAAGUCGAAUCAAG
rnacentral:rRNA from 1 species